AUUUUAUAAUGGUGAAAACAAAUACUAACAGAAGUAAAUUUCGUAUUUCAUAUUUUAGGCGGCCCAUAAAACUUUCAGAAUCAAGCAAAAGCUUGCCAAGAAGUUGAAGCAAAAUCGUUCCGUGCCCCAAUGGAUUCGUUUGCGCACAGGAAAUACUAUUAGAUACAACGCCAAGAGGCGCCACUGGAGACGUACCAAGUUGAAGUUGUAAGCUUCAUCUCGGAG